GUUGUUUUGGUUGUUUUUGUUUUAAUAUGCAAGGCAUUAAAUUUUACGUUGUUGCAAGUUUCUGGCAUGUGUAGUUAGACUUUUUGUCCAAAAUUUCUUAUUUAAGACGCGACUUAAAUAAAAACAGCUAAAAGACCUGUUCUUAUGUAAGACGCGUCUUAUCCAAGACGCGUCUUACAUAAGAAUUUUGUACCUUUUAUACGACAAACUCGCGUCUUACCUAAGUCGCGUCUUAUGUAAGUCGCGUCUUGUUUUGUUCCGUAUAAAUGGCCCUAAUGUUUCCUG